UGUCCUCCCACCCGUCCCAAAGACCGGAGACGCCCUGGCCCCCCGUCACAGCCUGAGGCCUCAGUGGGGAGUGAGCGCUCCGCCCCCCCCUCUUCCCCCCCCGCAGCGAGCAGAGGAGGAAGGGGAGGUGACACUCUUUGGAAUGAAGCACAUCCCGCCUAUCUGAUCACACUGUGACUUUCUAGUGAAAACCAUUGCAAAAUUCAUACAGGAAGCAUGCACCGUUGCAGCAUCGUUGGAAAUGAUUUCUUGCUCUACUAGAAAAAAGUUACAUUGUCUUAAGGUAACA